AGAGGGAGAAAGGGUGGGGAAGAAGAAAGAAGAAAAAGACAAGAAGGGAGAAUGGAAUGAAAGACAAAAGAAAAUCUAGCAGAGGGAAUGAGGGCAAACCAUGGAAGACAGAGGAAGGAACAAGAUGGAAUGGAGGAGAAGAGUGAGAAAAAAGACUGGAAGGUGGAGAAGAGAGAAAGAUUGGAAACAAGAAACACCUGAAGAGGAGUGAUAGCAAGGGUGGAGAAAGGCAGGAGAUGAGGAAAAGAGGGACAAUCAAAAGAAGGAGUUGGUGAGGCAGAUGAGUGGAAGGGAGGAGAAGAAGAAUGGAAAAGAGGAGACCAAUCAAAAGAAAGGAGGUUGGGUUGGGCAGGGAUGAGUGGAAGGGAGAGAAGAAUGGAAAAGAGGAGACCAAUCAAAAGAAAGGAGGUUGGAAUGAGGGCAGGGAUGAGUGGAAGGGAGAGAAGAAUGGAAAAGAGGAGACCAUCAAAGAAAGGAGGUUGGAAUGAGGGCCGGGAGAGUGGAAGGGAGAGAAGAAUGGAAAAGAGGGACAACAAUCGAAGAAAGGAGGUUGGAAUGAGGGCUGGGAUGAGUGUGGAAGGAGGAGAAUGGAAAAAGAGGAAAAAAUCAAGAAAAGGGUUGGAAUGAGGGCCGGGAUGAGUGGAAGGGAGGGAGUGGAAGAACGACAAGGAUGACUAUAAGGACCUUGGCAAAGGAGGAGGAAGGAGAGAGGAGAGAAAAGGGAGUGGAAGGGAGAGAGAAAGAUUGGACAAAGAAAAGACAGAAAGAAAGACGUCAGUAAAGAGUGGAAGAGUAGGACAACAGGAGAGAAAAUGAUGGU
rnacentral:lncRNA from 1 species